UUAAGCCAAUCACCUUCACCCCACUGAUUCAUUCACUAGUACACUACUGAAUAUACUUUGUAAAACAAGAAAAUGGAAGCAAUUCAAACCUGGGUCUCCAAGAACAAGCUCACCUCCAUUGGGGCAUUGUGGGCAUCAGGAAUUGGAGCAUCACUAGCUUAUAAUUCACGUACAAGAUCUCCCCUCAAGCCAAGCCUAAAGCUUAUUCAUGCCAGGAUGCACGCACAAGCUUUAACACUGGCGGUGCUCUCUGGUGCCGCAGUCUAUCACUACUACGAGAAGAGUACCAUGGAGCAUGGAGAGAGUACUCAUGAUUCUCCAAAGUGAAAGUUGUAUUGUAUCUGAUCUGUGGAUCUAAAGGGUUCCCUUUCCCUUUCAAAUUUAUUUAUAUUCUGGAAUUUUAUGUAGAAGGGAGAUGUUUCCUAUUCCGAGUUCCAUUUUUAAGUGGAUCAUGAUGUUCUAUUGUAAUUAUUAAUCCUGGAAACCUACCUUAAUAUCAAUCAUAUUUGGUUUUAUGUUCAUAUAAAAAAGGUGUAUUUCCUUUUGGUCCUUAGCAAAAUUUGAAUACAAUACCAAUAUAUCUAUCAAUAAUCAUGUAAGGUAAAUGAAGAGACCACAUUUUAUUUC